CGACAAGGAUGGGAUUCGAACCACGCAGGCAGAGCCCAAUGAUUAGCAGUCCAUCGCUUUAAACACUCCGGCCACCUCGUC